rnacentral:rRNA from 1 species
UGGCUCAGGAUGAACGCUGGCGGCGUGCCUAAUACAUGCAAGUCGAGCGAACGGACGAGAAGCUUGCUUCUCUGAUGUUAGCGGCGGACGGGUGAGUAACACGUGGAUAACCUACCUAUAAGACUGGGAUAACUUCGGGAAACCGGAGCUAAUACCGGAUAAUAUUUUGAACCGCAUGGUUCAAAAGUGAAAGACGGUCUUGCUGUCACUUAUAGAUGGAUCCGCGCUGCAUUAGCUAGUUGGUAAGGUAACGGCUUACCAAGGCAACGAUGCAUAGCCGACCUGAGAGGGUGAUCGGCCACACUGGAACUGAGACACGGUCCAGACUCCUACGGGAGGCAGCAGUAGGGAAUCUUCCGCAAUGGGCGAAAGCCUGACGGAGCAACGCCGCGUGAGUGAUGAAGGUCUUCGGAUCGUAAAACUCUGUUAUUAGGGAAGAACAUAUGUGUAAGUAACUGUGCACAUCUUGACGGUACCUAAUCAGAAAGCCACGGCUAACUACGUGCCAGCAGCCGCGGUAAUACGUAGGUGGCAAGCGUUAUCCGGAAUUAUUGGGCGUAAAGCGCGCGUAGGCGGUUUUUUAAGUCUGAUGUGAAAGCCCACGGCUCAACCGUGGAGGGUCAUUGGAAACUGGAAAACUUGAGUGCAGAAGAGGAAAGUGGAAUUCCAUGUGUAGCGGUGAAAUGCGCAGAGAUAUGGAGGAACACCAGUGGCGAAGGCGACUUUCUGGUCUGUAACUGACGCUGAUGUGCGAAAGCGUGGGGA